GAUGAACGCUGGCGGCGUGCUUAACACAUGCAAGUCGAACGUGAGGGGAUAGCAAUAUUCUUGAAAGUGGCGCACGGGUGAGUAAUACGUAGGUAACCUGCCCUGGAGUGGGGGAUAACAACUGGAAACGGUUGCUAAUACCGCAUGAAGCCAAGACACUGGGAAGUGACUUGGUAAAAACUCUGGUGCUUCAGGAGGGGCCUACGGCCGAUUAGCUAGUUGGCGGGGUAAGAGCCCACCAAGGCAUUGAUCGGUAGCUGGUCUGAGAGGACGAUCAGCCACACGGGAACUGAGACACGGUCCCGACUCCUACGGGGGGCAGCAGUGAGGAAUAUUGGGCAAUGGGCGCAAGCCUGACCCAGCAACGCCGCGUGGAGGAAGACGGGCCUUCGGGUUGUAAACUCCUUUACGGGGUAAGGAGGAAGGACGGUACCCGAGGAAUAAGUCACGGCGUAACU
rnacentral:rRNA from 1 species